UCAGCUGCUCAGACUUGAUUUUAUUUUAGUCAUCAGUGGUGAUGAUUUUUCUCUUUUUUUCUUUUUUUUUUUUUUAGACUCGUCAAGCGCAGUGGUGAGAAGGGGGGCAAGAGUAGAACAAGGAGUUCGAUCUGUAACUGACCGUGAACACUCAGUUGAGAUCCUUUCUCCCAUGUUUGACUAAUCCUUUUCGCUGUCAUCUGAUGUCAAAGGAAGGUUUUCUUUUGACUUCCAACUCUCUUCAGAUCUUUCGGACUCUAUGUCUUCAUAAGUCAUCCUCCUGUGAGGUUUCUUUACGUAAGUCCUGGUGUUUAUUCACCUCCUGUUGGAUUGUAUCCUUCUCUCCAUGGAUGUCUAGGUCUUUGUCCUUCCCUGAAGCUCGUUCCAAUAUAGUUGGAUUUUGAUUGUUCUCUAGUUCUUGUCAAGUUGUUCAUUCUUCUUUCGAUUUGAAUUUAUUUUCUUAUCCUUCCCGUAGUAAAACACUGAUGUUGUUGGGUGUUCUGAUUUUUUUUUUUUUUUUUUUUUUUU